rnacentral:lncRNA from 1 species
UCUGAACUUAAUGACAAAACCGUUAUUGACCCUACAGGGGUUAGUAACAAAUUUGAUGGGCUGACUGCUCAGGAAAUCCAAGUUUACAGAAUUUUGGAUGAAAUCCUGGGAUUUCAGUAUGCUGGAUGCUCAGUAUUCAGCCUUCAUUAGCUUCUGACAGAUGAACCAAGAGCUGCAUUAGGAACAGGGGAGAUAAGCCUUGAUUUCUAGGCUUGUUUUCCAGCCAUUAGACAGCACUUAUCUUUAAUGUGAAGCUCCUAGUUUUAGAGAUUGGACUGAUGACAAUCGUUUGUUUUGUUUAGGCUUUUUUUUUUUUUUUUUUAAAUAUUGCUGGUAUUUCUGUGUUCUACAUCAAAUAGCCAAAACAGCAUGAAUUCUAACAUAAUUUUAUAUUUCUGUUGCUAAUCCCGAUUUAGCCUUGACACAGACAAAUGUGACAUUAAGCAACGGAAGGUGUUGCAUAAACACAGUAAAUACUGCCUCUCCUUCUUUUGGUGGAUACAGAAAUUCACACCAGGGCAGCCAAUUGCAAUGUGCAGUUUAUACUAUGGAGUAUUUGAAUAUUUUAAAAUGUUGAUGAAAACCUUCAAUUGAAAGUGGAAGAAAAUAUUGACAAAUAUGAUAACUUCAAAAGUGUAAGCAAAAUACCAUUUAUUCAGAGUGCUUUGAAGCUCCAUGAUGGGGAAAUCAAAGCAUGCAAUAGCUUUAUUAUCUGUGGGUGGACCCUUUAAACAGAGGUGUUAAUGGUAUCACUAGGUAUAACUCAAUAAUAAGACACUUAUUAUUUGGUAAUAAGAUGCUCCUAAAUUCGUCAAUGCCUCUGUAGAGUUAGAGCUGCUGGCGCAGCUGUGUUCUCCAUGUUCCUUGCAGUUUUGCUUUUCACCUUCCUGAGAUGCGUGUGAGGUCUCUUAUAAGGCAUCUGCUCUCUGUAGAUUGGUGAAUUGUACCUCCUAAGUAACACCUGGUUCAUUAAACAUUUGCAUUCUGUAUGACCCGACUGGGAACAUUUAUUGAAUAAAUAAUCCAUCUUUGUGUGGAUGAGAGUAAGA